UACAAUUUUGUGGCUAUGGACAUGACCCCGGUCAACAUUUCUGUUCCCAGGGAAGUUCCAUGCACUUUAUCAGUGUUGCGGGUCGAGCUUUCCUGUACUGGCAAAGUCGAUUCUGAACUUAGGAUACUAAUGUGGCUCAACUUGACAGUAAAUUCUUCAAAAAGUUUUACAGUCUUAAACUUUAAGUGAAGGAAAAUAUGCUAUAAAAAAAACCUUGAAGAAGUAAAAACUUCAUCAUUGGACAAAAACACUAGCAAAUCUAUCCUGUACAUGCAGCUCCAACCACUUCUACAUGUGUAGGGGUUUGUUGUGCAAUAAUAUUUCUCAUAGCAAUAACUUUAGCAGUUUUGCACCUUCAUGACAGCAUCAGUGUCAGCAGUAGUUCCCAAGGGCUUUCUCAGCCUUCCACCCAGACAACUCAGUAUUUGAGAGCUGACACAGCCAACAACGCAACUUCUAUCACCAGUUAUCCUACCUUUCAGAUAGAGAAGAAUGACUUGAGAAGUGUCACUCUGUUGGAGGCCAAAGGGAAAGUGAAGGAUUAGAGCAAUAUCUAGUGAGAGGAUAACUCUAAAAGAUGUACUCCAGGAAGGUACUUUUGGUCGUAUUUUCCAUGGGAUUUUAGUAGAUGAAAAAGAUCCACAUAAAGGAAAACAAACAUUUGUAAAAACAGUUAAACAUCAGGCUUCUGAAAUUCAGGUGACAAUGAUGCUCACAGAGAGCUGCAAGCUGUGAGGUCUUCAUCACGGAAACCUUCUUCCUAUCUCUCACACGUAUAUAGAAGAAGGAGAGAAGCCCAUGGUGGUACUGCCUUACAUGAAUUGAGGGAAUCUUAAGUAGUUUUUAUGGCAGUGCAAAUUAGUAGAGGCCAACAAUCCUCAGGCAAUCUCUCAACAAGACCUGGUAGACAUGGCUAUUCAGAUUGCCUGCGGAAUGAGUUACCUGGCCAGAAAGGAAGUGAUCCACAAGGACCUGGCUGCCAGGAACUGUGUCAUUGAUGACACCCUUCAAGUUAAGAUCACAGACAAUGCCCUCUCCAGAGACUUGUUCCCCAUGGACUACCACUGUCUUGGGGACAAUGAGAACAGGCCAGUUGGAUGGAUGGUUCUCAGAGGUCUGGUUGAUAAUGAGUUCUGUAGUGCUGGCCAUGUGUGGGCCUUCUGAGUAACGCUGUGGGAGCUCAUGAUGCUGGGCCAGACCCCCUACGUGGACAUCGACCCCUUUGAGAUGGCGGUAUACUUGAAAAAUGACUACUGGAUGGCCCAUCCCAUCAAUUGUCCCAAUGAACUAUUUGCUGUCAUGGCCUAUUGCUGGACCUUAGAUCCAGAGGAGAGGCCCAAGUUUCAACAGCUAGUCCAGUGUCUCACAGAGUUCCACGCUGCCCUGGGAGCCUACGUCUGACUUCGCAGGGUCCUGUCAUGUC